rnacentral:rRNA from 1 species
GAUGAACGCUGGCGGCGUGCCUAAUACAUGCAAGUCGAGCGAACGGACGAGAAGCUUGCUUCUCUGAUGUUAGCGGCGGACGGGUGAGUAACACGUGGAUAACCUACCUAUAAGACUGGGAUAACUUCGGGAAACCGUAGCUAAUACCGGAUAAUAUUUUGAACCGCAUGGUUCAAAAGUGAAAGACGGUCUUGCUGUCACUUAUAGAUGGAUCCGCGCUGCAUUAGCUAGUUGGUAAGGUAACGGCUUACCAAGGCAACGAUGCAUAGCCGACCUGAGAGGAUGAUCGGCCACACUGGAACUGAGACACGGUCCAGACUCCUACGGGAGGCAGCAGUAGGGAAUCUUCCGCAAUGGGCGAAAGCCUGACGGAGCAACGCCGCGUGAGUGAUGAAGGUCUUCGGAUCGUAAAACUCUGUUAUUAGGGAAGAACAAAUGUGUAAGUAACUGUGCACGUCUUGACGGUACCUAAUCAGAAAGCCACGGCUAACUACGUG